CCUACGGGGGGCAGCAGUGAGGAAUAUUGGUCAAUGGGCGAGAGCCUGAACCAGCCAAGUCGCGUGAGGGAGUACUGCCCUAUGGGUUGUAAACCUCUUUUGUCGGGGAGCAAAAGCCGGACGUGUCCGGCUGUGAGAGUACCCGCAGAAAAAGCAUCGGCUAACUCCGUGCCAGCAGCCGCGGUAAUACGGAGGAUGCGGGCGUUAUCCGGAUUUAUUGGGUUUAGAGGGUGCGCAGGCGGAUUGUUAAGUCAGCGGGAAAAUCGUGGGGCUCAACCCCAUCCAGCCGUUGAAACUGGGGAUCUAGAGUGUGCGAGAGGUAUGCGGAAUGCGUGGUGUAGCGGUGAAAUGCAUAGAUAUCACGCAGAACCCCGAUUGCGAAGGCAGCAUACCGGUGCACAACUGACGCUCAGGCACGAAAGCGUGGGUAUCGAACAGGAUUAGAUACCCCAGUAGUC
rnacentral:rRNA from 1 species